rnacentral:misc_RNA from 1 species
AAAUGCGAUAAGUAAUGUGAAUUGCAGAAUUCAGUGAAUCAUCGAAUCUUUGAACGCACCUUGCGCUCCUUGGUAUUCCUUGGAGCAUGCCUGUUUGAGUAUCAUGAAAUCUUCAAAGUAAAUCUUUUGUUAACUCAAUUGGUUUCUACUUUGGUAUUGGAGGUCUUUGCAGCUUCACACCUGCUCCUCUUUGUUCAUUAGCUGGAUCUCAGUGUUAUGCUUGGUUACACUCGGCGUGAUAAGUUAUCUAUCGCUGAGGACACUGUAAAAGGUGGCCAAGGUAAAUGCAGAUGAACCGCUUCUAAUAGUCCAUUGACUUGGACAAUACUUUUAUGAUCUGAUCUCAAAUCAGGUAGGACUACCCGCUGAACUUAAGC